AUUGAACGCUGGCGGAAGGCCUAACACAUGCAAGUCGAAUGAUUGGCCGACGGGUGAGUAACGUCUGGGAAACUGCCUGAUGGAGGGGGAUAACUACUGGAAACGGUAGCUAAUACCGCAUACCAUCAGAUGUGCCCAGAUGGGAUUAGCUUGUUGGUGGGGUAACGGCUCACCAAGGCGACGAUCCCUAGCUGGUCUGAGAGGAUGACCUGCCACGCUGGAACUGAGACACGGUCCAAACUCCGACGGGAGGCAGCAGUGUGGAAUAUUGCACAAUAGGCGCAAGCCUGAUGCAGCCAUGCCGCGAGUAUGAAGAAGGCCUUCGGGUUGUAAGGUACUUUCGGCGGGGAGGCAUUACCCGCAGAAGAAGCACCGGCUAACGCCGUGCCAGCCGCCGCGGUAAUAC
rnacentral:rRNA from 1 species